AAUCAAUUGAUUUUAUACAUUUUAAAAAAUUAACUUAUUCAAAAUUAUUUGGAAAUAAAAGCUCCUUCGAAAUUUUUGAACCAUGAACGCCGUAACUUUUUUUUUCUUCAGAGAAGAGCUUUAAUUUAAUUCAAAAAUUCAUAUUUCUUUAAUUUUAAAAAGUUAUGUUCUUUACUCUUUAACUUUAAAAAAUGAUUUAGUUUAUUAUUUAAAAAAUAAAAAAUUUCACAUUUAAAACCCUUCAUCCUCUACAAAACCUAAACUAAAAAUAGCGUACAACCCCUCAACCAUAUGCACGAAAUCACGAUUUUUCCAACCAAAUAGCACGAUUGAAUCACACGAAACCAUAUGGAACUGCUUCAAACGGACAUUUCUCCAACCGAUUCAAAUCUUCAUGUUGCUACCAAAAAUUCAAGAAACAUACGUCUUGCAAAAUAUGGCUACUCAAAGUGAUUUAUUUAAUGAUAUAAUAAUAUCGCAAAUGCAAUGAAAGCUGAAAGUUGGAUUGUUCGUCUGUGGAAAAUACCAGAUCGUUACAAUUGAGAUGCUACUUUCUCGAUUGAAUCAGUUCUGCAAGAUGAAAAGGAUCCCGACUUCAAUACUAUUGAAGGCGUAGAUGAAGCGAUGGAAUGCGAGAUAUAGAUGCUGGCAUGCGAUGAAGUUCAGUGUAACUUCAAGUUAUACUAUAACUUCAAAAAUCUCAAAGCUAUAACUUGUGUUUAAGAAUGUAAGCGCGGUGUCUAAGGAUUUUGGGUUGUGUGGCUGAAGACUGGGGUUUUGCAGCAGAGUGUGAAUAAUACUUGGGGAAUUUUCUAUGUUAUCUUCGGGUCUACGGGGCAGUAUUGAAGAAAUGGGAAAAACAACUUCGGAUUCACGGAAGGUCUUUUAGAAUGGGUGUACCAGUUGGAUAUGCUAUUGUGCGUAUGAGGAGGGUAUGAGAUGGUUCAUGGUUAUUGAGACGAUGUGAUCUCGUGAUUUUGGUCACCCGGGAAGAAUGUUGAUUGGGUUUCAUUAUAUUUUUUGAAUGGGGCUAUUAUUAUUUCUAAGGCAAGUCAAGAGUAAAUUGGAAGAAGUGGGGUCGGUUAGUAAUGGUUUGAAUCAACAUGAUUGUGGCAAUGAUCAGUUCCUUCGGCGUGUUAAGUUAGACAGGUGGUUUGUGGUUUUACAAGCGGGCUUGACAACCACCAUAAUUUGAUUGAUUUGGGAGGUAUUUGAUUCAAAUGGUCUUGUUAUGUAUAAAUGGAUCCCGGAAGAGUUAUGGCGGUUUAGACCACGACUUGAGGUUUUUAUUUUCUGCGGUUAUGGGAAUUCAAUUGCGUGUUACAAUAGUUCUUCUGAAAUGAGUUAAGUGAAAGGUUUCUAGCCAAUGAAGUGUUUAUUCUACUAGUAGUUUAGGGGUUUUGAUGAAUUCUUGUACUCUCGCAUAGCAACAUGAUAGGUGCCAUGAGCGGCAUGGGAAUUGGAAGUCGAGGAUCAAGGUUGCGGCUCGGUGUUAAUAAGAAUGUCACGAGCUUAGAUUAGUAGAGAAUAAUUCAGAUGUUCAAAGUAAGCUGGCAUUAUCUUAGUGUCGCCUGAGAAUGGUGUUCUGUGGAAGAGGCAUUCUGUAUUGAUUUGCGGAUUCUUGAUUUGCUUUACAGAAUUAGUACGGUUGGUGGUA